CCACAGCCAAUGAAGCUCACUAGGCUCCUUUCCUUUCGGUGCUUGGUGUGCAAUAGCCACAAACAGCAGCAGCCUCAGUGAUGUACAUAAUUUGUUGCUUGUAUAGGUUACCAGAAGGGGCCUUGGAUACAAAA